AGAUUCCAUCAAAGUAAUCACGAUUAUGUGGCAAUCUGUAUGUUCCCUCCGUCCCCAAAUAAGAGUUCAGUAUUCGAUUUUGGGCUAUCCUUGAAUAAGUUUCCAUUUUGAAAAGUUAAUGGGUAAAAGUUAAUAUGAAAUGUGUAACGAUGAUGUUUCCUCAGUAAGUUGGAAUUACGAAGCUGGAGUGGACACUUAAAAAGGGACGGAGUGGGUAUUUUUUUAUUUCUUUCCAUGUCCCCGACAUGUCUGUAUCCCCACUAAUCCAGAGUUGUCAUGUCACAUGCCCAUAUAUGUUCCCAUGUCUGUGCUUCUUAGCUUUUAAGUAUUACUCUUCUUGCAGUUUAGUUGCACAAUUACUAACUAAACUUGCAUUUAUUUUGGACUUUGACUGGGCACUGCCUUUGAUUGAGGUUUUUUUUCCAAUUGAGGCUUAUUAAUACUUUUAUACUAGCAUUGUUGUUAAAGAAUUUGUGUUGGAUUGACCUGGUUAUGCUCGGGUUCGGGAAUGCAAAGGGCCUUUAGAGGCAACAAGGUCUCCAACCUCUGUAAA